UUCAGGGCAUUUUGUCCGUCGGACAUAUCACAAUCCGUUUCACUUGUCUUUAUCACACGGCCUUUAAAGAGAUAGGCCGACAUUAAAUAUUUACUUAAAAUACCGAUAGAUGCUUCCAACAUGGCUCAGAGUGAGGAAACCAGCGACGCUAGGUGUCGUAUAAUCGAGCCGAUGGGGAGAAUCGGCUGUUACUGUUGGCAAUAACUUUAACAUCUGGAGAAGCUAGUAUGGUGAAAGAGGAGCUUCGCCUGGGUGAGUGCAGUUCUCAUCCUGCAAGCAGCAAGAAUGCCAAAGACAAAAGCAACAGCUCGACUCUGAGGGCAAUGAGAGAGACCAAGGACUCUGACGACUGCAGUGACCCUGGCUCCCGCUGCAGCUCGGAAAAAGACUCUGGGUACUCCGACAACGGCUCUGACUGGCACCAGACCAAUGUGACUCAGCAGCGGAAUAAACGUCAGACGAGAGAGGUCGGUGAUGUGACGGAGUCUGGCCAAAGCCAAGAUGGUGGGAAAGGAAAACCUGGUAAUCCUAAACGGAUGCCAAGAGGCCAAACAAUUCAGCCCAUCUACAUCCUCAACAACAUAGCACUCAAGCAGCCAGAAACCAUCCAAAAAAGUGGGCAGCUUCUGUGGACAAAUGGCAGCAGCGAAGCCAUUGCUUCCGGUAGCACCCACAUGAUCCUUUUCCAGCAGCCCAGCUUUAUGCCCGCCGCCACCCUCCAGCUUCACAAGCCCUCCUCUCUGAAGAACAGUACCACAGGGAAGAAAGUAACCACCUACUUACCCAUUCUCAACUCCUACCCCCGCAUUGCACCACAUCCGAGCAAAAAGCCUCCCGAUAAAUCCUUUUUGAGCGAUGAGGCGUGGAUUUUGAGCAAGAGGGUAUGCACAGAAUACAAAGGAGAUCUCAAACCUGUGUCCAGGAGUCAGGAGCUGGCAGUCUUCACCUUGGAGCAGUCCACUUCCUCUACAUCCUCCUCCAGUCCCACUCAGGAAACCCCUAAUUCGGCACCCUGCAGUCCGUCCACCUCAGUGCUCACAAGCAAGGGGUCUCAGAGGAGCAGCAACACCCGCCACCGCCGCUUCCUCAACACUGCCGAGAUCCUGCGCCAGUCUGGCCUGCUGGACAUCACGCUGCGCACCAAAGAGCUCCUGGGCCAGAGCAACACCACCGAACGAGAGAUCGCCGAGCUGCGCCAGCACACCGAGCUGCUCUGCCAGGCCACAAGUAGCGGCCUGAGCGGUGGUGCCGCCUGGCAGAAUGUGCACAGGACCAUGGCCGAGUCCAACUGCUACCCAGAUCUGAAAAACCUGAAGUAUUUACAAUCGCUGUCUCACCUGGAAUCAGCUGGCCAGUCGGCCGGUGCUGGAAAAGAGGCCGCGCUAAGCUCAGACUCGACACCGAAACAGAACCGUGCUUGCGCAGAACCACACAAAGAGUUCACGUCAAGUGAUACUUACCCCGAGGAGGUUGCCUUCAUGCCUCCUGAUAGCUCCACUGGUUAGUGUGAGGUGUAGUGCCUUAGAAGAGAGAGCCACACUCGGGUCCAAGGCUGGACCUGAAAACCAGGCGUUCCCUUCAGGAUUGUGUGUGUGGUGUGUUCAACCCUUUAGUGAAAAGCCAACAAUAACUCAAUUUUAAAGAAACUUAAACUAACUUUUUAAUGCAUUGAGAAUUGCGCUCCAUGUUCAAUUCUAGGAGCACAAUGGUCAAUCUCUAUAGGGGGUCCUCUGUUUAUGCCCGAAUUUGUACACAAGUUGGAACACGCCAUCGUCAAUCACUAACCUACACUAAUGCAGUAAUAAAGUAAAGUAAAUAUUCGGUGAAAAACACUUCUAGGCCAUAAUUAUAAAACAAUUAAAUUAUAAGUAGGCCUACUGAGGUAACAAGAGUGCUGCCUUGUGCUGAAUGAGAACCAUUGCUUACGCUGCUGCGCGAACUCGUUCAACAUGCCCUUUGUAACCACAAUGUCGGUACGCCGAGGACCCCCUCCAGUUGCAUCACACUCAUCAUUCUGUGGACAACAAACGAGAGGAACUCAAGUCACAUCCAACUGUCAAACAAGGCUGAGAGAGCUGAUAUAUCAGACCAAUAUACCGUAUUUCCCUCUAAUAGUGGCCCCUAGUCUAAUACAGGCCGUGUUUCAAAAUAUCAAUAAAUCCCUCCUUUUUCCUAUCAGGGAGAAAAAAGGUUACAACUUACACACGGGAAUUAAAUCGUUAACUGCUGAGCCCAUUUGACCUCAAAUGCUAACCCAAACAGAUUCCUACUGGGAAUCUCUCAGAUUUGAAUUAAGUGUGGAGUCAUAAACAAGUUCCCCUGUGCAGUAUUUUCUCAAAUAAUGGCGACCUAUCUAAUAAAUAACGUGACCCAAGUAUAGUCACCAGUGUCAUGACAUCUACUUAAAGGGGAGUUUGAAGUGUUGAAACUGAUGGCAAGAUUUGAACGUAGGCUCACUUCACUGCUACCUCCCUCCCCUCGAGACCAAAGCCAUGCCCCUCAGUAACGUUCACGAGCAUGAUUCUCAAAUUCAUAGAGAAUGCAGAGCCGGCUCCAACAAAAUAGUAGCGCUAGCAAUACUAAGCUGGCAUUAGCACUGUCAACAAGUCAGCGAUAGCCACGGCUACUACGUUGACAGCAUGACUUAACGUGAUGGAGUGUUACUAUAUCACUGAAUGUUAUCAGUUUAAAGUUUUAUGUUUUGGAAUGUACUGUGCCGUGAAAAAGUAUUGGUCCCGUUCUCAAAUUCUUAUAUUUUUGCAUAGUUUCCCCACUUUGGUUAAGAUCAUCAAACAAAUGUAAAUAUAGGACAAAUACAAUUUAAGUGAACUUAGAAUACUGUUUUUAAAUGGUGAUUUAAUUUAUUAAGGGAAAAAAAACAAUUCAAAGUUACCUGGUCCUGUGUGAAAAAGUAAUUACCCCCCCCCCCCUUGUUUAAACAUGAAUUAAUUGUGACUAAUCACACAUUUUGGGUAAUUUUCACUGAUCACACCCAAGCCUGAUUACCUCCAGACCUGAUCAAUCAAGAAACCACAGAAUCUGUCCCCACAAAAUCAAGUCGGUCAAAAGAUCUAAAAGAGCUGCAACAAAAUGACAGGAUCCAAAGAAAUUCCAGAACAGUCAAGAAAUAAAGUAAUUGACAUCUAUCAGUCUGGAAAGGUAUACAAAAGCCAUUUCUAAAGCUUUAGUAUUGCAGCGAACCAUAGGGAGAGCCAUUAACUUCACAUGGGGAAAACAUUGAACAGUGGUGAACCUUCCCAGGAGUGGCCGGCCUCCAAAGAUUACCCCAAGAGAACAGCAAUGACUCAUCCAGUAGGCCACAAAGGAACUUUUGAAGAACUGCAGGCCUUCCUUGCUUCACUUAAGGUCAGUGUUCAUGACACAACAAUAAGGAAGAGACUGGGCAAAAAAGGCAUCUAUGGCAGAGUUCCAAGGCAAAAAUCACUGCUGACCAAAAAUACCAAAGUCUUGUCUUUUGCAAAAAAAAAAAAAAAAACAUCUGAAUGAUUCCCAAGACUUUUGGGAAAAUAUUAUAUGGACUUAUGAGAUGAAAGUUGAGCUUUUUGGAAAGUGUGCAUCUCAUUACAUCUGGCAUAAAUAUAGCACAGUAUUUCAGAAAAACAACAUCAUACCAAGUCAAACAUGGUGGUGGUAGUGUAUUGGUCUUCGGCUGCUUAGCGCCUUCAGGACCUGGACAACUUUCUGUGAUUGAUGUAACAAUGAAUUCUGCUCUUCAACAGAAAAUCCGGAAGAAGAAUGUUCAGCCAUCAGUUUGUGACCUCAAUCUGAGGUGGGCUUGGGUUCUGCAGCAGGAUAACAAGCCAAAACACACCAGCAAGUCAACUUCUGAAUGGCUUAAUAAAUAAAUAACUGCCUGAGGUCCCUCCAGCUCUGAAGGGCAACUCCUGUGAUCACCUUUGGUUACAUUUUUUGGAUUUUCCGGAGGUGACUAGUCUGCCAUAGUUUCAGCCAACCUCUUAAAUUCCAAGGUAAAAGGUCAGCACAAAGCCACGGUGAUGUUCUCAUUGUGUGUGCCUGUGCGUGCAUGAUAAAUGAUUGACACCUCGUGAGGCACGCCUUCUGUCUCUAAUUGGAGUUUUUUUCUCAGCACGGUGGUUUCUUGCAAAUAAAAUUAGAGGCACACGAUGCGGCCAGAGGGCUGUUUAAAAAAACAAAAACAAAAACAUUUAAACAUAAUGUUACUCAUGUCGGCAAGGCAGGAUCCACAAUUAGCGCUCCAGUCGACUGUGAUGUGAUUGCUCCACAAUGUUUUGUAGGUCCAAGUUUGUGUUCCAGGAAGCUACGUGACUUAUUAGUUCUGCUCAGUCUGCCUUAAUAUUAUUUUGUGGCACCUUGACCUGCGAUUGAGAAAAUAAACCCCUGGCCACUGUUACAACUAAGCACAGUAAAAUGGUGCAAGAUGAUAGCUGUCCCACUGACAGGGAUAGAGGACCAGCAGUAGAAUUGAGCCCUGAAAACCAAUCUCUUUGUGUCAUAGAGAAGAUCACCUAUUGCCCUACAUGCCUUUCUAUCCAAAUAUUGAAACAAUGCCUUCAAAACAUCAUACUCCACAAGUUCAACACCCAUCUUUUCUUCUGAUACAACAGUUUUGUUUGCGGUUUCAUUCAGCAGGAAUCCUAAUUGGCAGUCCGACUUAAUUUAAACACACUAAAUCCCCCCCCCCCCCCCCCCCCCCCCCGUGCGCACACACAUGCUUUUAAUUAUUUGUGCACUUCCAGCAUUUAAUUGUUUAUACAACUUUUUAAUAAAUGUAACGUAAAACAACCAUUUUCAGUGUAUUUUGUAUGAAAAUGAUUGUAGUAAUGUGCCCAAAGCAAAACUAUCUAGUGUAGUACAGAGCACAAUUGUUUCCUUUAUAUAAUGGGAAUAUAUAUAUUUUAUUACUAUUAUUAUUUUUUUUUUUAAAUGGGAGGAACCGUGUCAGCCAUUUUAGUAAAAUGUAUUUGCGAAGAUUUAUAAACAAUGGAGUGGGAUACCUUCAUGUACAUAACUGUAACUAUUGGCGUGUUCAAGAUCAGUUCAUCUGUUGUAGUUUUUGCUAUUUCAGAAUCAUUCGAGAUCCUCUUCAGUGAUGUGUUGGAGCACUGUGUCUGUCUUUAGAGUCAGUGAACAGUCAGGCGGUGUGGGCCAGCACAGGCGAUGGAGACGCUAACAGAUGGAUACAAACAACAGUGGUGUACUGAAAUAUGCCAAAAACCUAUAUACAACGAACAGUUGAGAAUAUUGUUCUCUUUUUGAAUUCAUAGAACACAUUGUCACUUGGCUCACCUGACUCAGUGUUCCAGUAGUGGUGCAGCGCCCAGCCAUGCACCAGCAGGAUGGAGGAGAGGGCCAUCGUCCAGCCCAACACGUAGGCCCAGCCCCAGGAGGAUGAUCAUGACAAAGAAGCAGAUUGACCACACUUGAGGCAGCGGCAUCAUGGCCACAGCCAGAGGUGAAACCUAUGAGGAUUUGGAGUUUACCUGACUCAGCCACUUCUGCGAUGGGAACGCCUUGCUCAUGAGGCAUGAAUCCCAGCACGGAGAAGACAGCAAAGCCAGCGACCACACCAAUGCAACUGUUGAGCAAACACAGCCAAAAGCAUUCCCUGCAACACACACAAAAGUAUUUUCUGAGCAAUGGGUUCAAAUCAUUGAGAGGCUGUAGCUCUGCGCAACAGUUGGAAUGAGUGCAAUGUCAGCUAGUGGUGGGCUCAGUAAAGCCCUCACUAGGUUUAUCCAAGGGACCAUUUUUGACCCACAUAUGAAGCUAAAUUAGUUGAAUUCGGACCAUAAAACUCUUCCGUAUUUAUCUGGUUCACGUUUCGGUUGUACUUUCUAAUGAACUCCAGUUAGCAAGCUACAGUAGCUUGCUAAUGGAUAUCAAGAAACUGAAAAACAAUGACAUGAAACCGUCAGUUUAGCCAGUCUGUUGAGUGUGUGUAUUGUUAUGUUCCCCCCCCCCCCCCCCUAGCUUUAUUGUUACACUCACUUGUAGCAAGUUACUGUGAGUGUUGUAGCUGCCCAGUACAGCCAGGGUGCCCACACCGAUGCUGUACAAGAAGAUUCUGCGAGCCGGCGUCCAGCCACACCUGUGUAAAAAGACGCCGCUUCACUGCUUUUGAAAGUGUUUGCCCUCCAUCACAGUGCACACAACACAUUCCUACUUGAGGGUCUGCAAGUCGCGGCAGCUCGGGCAGAAGGUAGAACUUCACUCCUUGUAUGGCUCCCGAAAGAGUGAGUCCCUGGAUCAAAAGGAUGAGGAGCAUCACAUAAGGGUAAGUGGCUGUGAAAUACACCACCUGGACAAGAGGAGGGUUGCAAGACUGUCAGGACAUUUAAUAAAUGCUUGUAGUGUUUGAUUAAGUUUGAGGGACUUCACCUUUCCAGUUGAUUUGACCCCUUUCAAGAUGCAGAAGUAACAAAUGACCCACAUAGCCAGGAGGCACAGAAGCACCUCCCACCUGAUGCUGCCAAUCUCCUCAAUACCUUCAGAGAUCUUCAAGACUCGAAGUCUGGAAAAGCCGACACGCUGCUUAUAUAGAGGAAAGGCUGACGUGACUGAGGACAGCAUGUGGACGGUGAAGGGUGCGCGUGAAAGAGGACGCUAAAGGCACGCCCCCAGUAGGUAUAUAGUGCCGGUAUGGCUAAGGACCCCGAAAAUGGCACCUACGAAGAGAGACGCUUACAAAGCACAGUUUAAGGUGCAAGCUAUCAGUUACGCGGAGGAACAUGGGAAUCGAGCAGCCGCGAGAGAAUUCAAGAUCAACGAAUCCAUGGUUCGCAAGUGGAGGAAGCAUUCAAGAAUACGAAGCUGAGUUUCCGCAGAAACAAGGCGAGGUGGCCCGAGUUGGAAGACCAACUCGAGCAAUGGAUUAAUGAGCAAAGAACAGCCGGGAGAAGCGUCUCUACAGUCACCAUUCGACUUAGUGCAAUAACUCGGAGCUUGCCAUCACUCUCCAACCGCUGAACAUCGGUGUAAACAGGGCGUUCAAAGUGAAGUUGCGAGCGGCGUGGGACCGAUGGAUGACAGAUGGCGAACACAGCUUUACUAAGACUAGGAGGCAGCGCCGGGCGAAUUACGCCACAAUUUGUGAAUGGAUUGUGGAUGCUCAGGGCUAACGUGUCUGCUUGCACUCUUGUUCGAGCUUUUGUAAAAGCCGGCAUCAUUUCUGAGGAGCCGCACGGCAACGAGACUGACUCCGACAAUGACGAGAAGGAACCUGGCGUGUUAGAUGGAGAACUUGCCCAGCUGUUCAUUUCGGAUACAGAAGAUGAGGACUUUGAUGGAUUUGUGGAUGAGGAUUGAUCAAAAAAUAACAAUGGCAGGCUUGUUGCACAGCUUCAUCAUCAGCUCUUCCAGCUCCUUCCCUCAGGUAGGCGCUACCGAUCAAUGCAAACUAGAACAAGCAGACAUUCCAACAGCUUCUUCCCUCUUGCAAUCAACUUCUUAAACACCUAACCAACAAUUCCAUUACAAUUUUUUGUCUUUUUGUCUUGAGUUUGUUGUCACAUUUCUGUCGAGCCAAUUAUAUAUUACUCGUGCACUGAUUGUAUGUAUCACCACGCUGCACUAUUUGCAUAUCUGUUGUUGACCAAUACUGGCCACUCAUGCCAGAGUAGCAUCUGCUCCAUUUGCACACUGACAGAGGAGUAUCUGCAACAUUUGCACAAUCAACAUUGUCCCAGACUAUCGUACUACUCGCUUGAAGUCUCGGCGCCCUUUGCACAAUGGUCAUUGCACAGACUAUUGCAAUAUUACUCAUUCGAACUGCUCUAAGUGCUAGAGGACUCUGCAUCUUUUUGCACAAUUGUCAAAAAAAUAAAAUAAAAUACAAAAAGUAAUGCAUUACCAGAUAACGAGCAACCCUUUAUUGCUCAGUGACUGUUUUUCUCAAUGUCUUCAUGUCUCAAAAUUGUUCUCUGUCAAUUGUCGUACUAGAGCGGCUCCAAUUACCGGAGACAAAUUCCUUGUGUGUAUUUUGGUCAUACUUGGCAAAUAAAGAUUAUUCUGAUUCUC